rnacentral:rRNA from 1 species
GAGUUUGAUCAUGGCUCUAGAUUGAACGCUGGCGGCAUGCUUUACACAUGCAAGUCGAACGGCAGCACAGGGAGCUUGCUCCCGGGUGGCGAGUGGCGCACGGGUGAGUAAUACAUCGGAACGUGUCCUGUUNUGGGGGGAUAGCUGCUCAAAGGGUGGCUAAUACCGCAUGAGACCUGAGGGUGAAAGCGGGGGAUCGCAAGACCUCGCGCAAUUGGAGCGGCCGAUGCCCGAUUAGCUAGUUGGUGAGGUAAAGGCUCACCAAGGCGACGAUCGGUAGCUGGUCUGAGAGGACGACCAGCCACACUGGGACUGAGACACGGCCCAGACUCCUACGGGAGGCAGCA